UAGAAUAAAUAACAUGAUGUCCCCCUAACC
rnacentral:piRNA from 1 species